AACGCCCCUCAAUUCUUUUAACGAAAAUGGCAAACUUAACCCCGAUUCAUCAUUUGAAACUAGAAUUUUAUCAAAAACUAUUUGUUGUUGGACUAUUGGAGGGGCUAACUUGUCAAUGAACUGUUCAGCAAUAUUAAGAGACAUUAUUAACUUGAGCAACCAUUGACUUAUAUCAAUGUGAGCGACUCAAAGUUUUCGACAGUCAUACUAUGUCGAUAUCGUUCUUCAGCCUCUUUACGCCCUUUAACAGCAGAUGAACAUUCUUCAUCGCACCAGACAGGAGAGGAGAUAAGAAGCAGCAAUGACUGAAUAGUCAUCACCAUGAGAAGAAAGAUUAAUUAAAGAAAAGGGAUAACAAUUGCUAAUGAGCAAGGCAACACCACCAUGCCCAUCAGUUCUUUGCGAAAACAAGAAUAGCCUGGGAUCUUAAACCUGAACUCAGGUCUAAGCCAGGUCUCAAAUAGAGAAAUAAUAAAAGGAUUAAAUUUAUUUACAAUAUAUAUUAAGUCAGAUUUUUUAUUUACUAUGCUUCGGCAAUUCCACUGUAUUACUGCUGCGUUGUAGUAUAGUGUAGUAAGUAUGCAAUCAUUUCGAAAAUUUUACAUUUUUCUAUUAAUAUAUUUAUUCAUGAUUGAUUCAUA